rnacentral:rRNA from 1 species
UACGAAGGGGGCUAGCGUUGUUCGGAGUUACUGGGCGUAAAGGGCGCGUAGGCGGCGCACCAAGUCAGGCGUGAAAGCCCUGGGCUCAACCCGGGAAUUGCGCUUGAGACUGGUGUGCUUGAGUACGGGAGAGGAUAGUGGAAUUCCCAGUGUAGAGGUGAAAUUCGUAGAUAUUGGGAAGAACACCGGUGGCGAAGGCGGCUCACUGGCCCGGUACUGACGCUGAGGUGCGAAAGCGUGGGGAGCAAACAGG